GGAAGAAUAAACAUACAUGUAUCUUCGAGCAGCUGUGAAGAAACCAGACCUGUAAAUAUGUUACAUUUACGUUGGACGUUUGUGUGUUUGGAUACAUGUUAAAUAUAAGUUAUAUUAUAACAAUGACUAACAUAUUUUGUGCUUCGAUUCUUUACGGAAAUUCCCACUUUACGUUCGCGACAAGAGAAACUGGUUGCCAUCACAGACCUGCCAUAGAUUGACUGAAUGACGUAUACCCCGAAUUGAUAGGUACGUCAUUAUGCAGACGGGUUUUCCAGAGGCCUCGACGGUGAUCUUGUGUCGGCAAUUUCCAUCGGGGAUGAAUUUAUUUUAUGUAGCAAAGCAUAGUAGGACAUGCAUCAGUCAACAAUUUGGUGAGAUGGACUGACAACACUCUUCAGCAGGUGCCAAACCACAAAACGAAUAUGGAUGUAUCAAAUGUCAUUCUGUCAAUGUGCAGGUGAGUUAACCUAUACCAUCAGACUGACGAAGUAUUGAAUGAAAAAUGAACAAGAAAUAAGAAUGACCAGUGACCAUGACAUCAAAAAACCCCAAGUGACAGCUUGUUCACAACACAGAGAGGAUGUUUGUCAUGGAACAGAAUCAAUUCUUUUUCAAUUCUUUAUUAAAAAUAGAUGUUAAUGUGCGUUGGUGAUUUGUACACACAGAGUUGCAUAUUUGAAGGUCACGGUCAAGGUGAGUUAACCUAUACCAUCAGACUGACGAAGUAUUGAAUGAAAAAUAAACAAGAAAUAAGAAUGACCAGUGACCAUGACAUCAAAAAACCCCAAGUGACAGCUUGUUCACAACACAGAGAGGAUGUUUGUCAUGGAACAGAAUCAAUUCUUUUUCAAUUCUUUAUUAAAAAUAGAUGUUAA